rnacentral:rRNA from 1 species
GAGGAGGCAGCAGUGGGGAAUGUUGCGCAAUGGGCGAAAGCCUGACGCAGCAACGCCGCGUGGGUGAAGAAGGCCUUCGGGUUGUAAAGCCCUGUCUUCUUGGACGAAGCUCCAGAUAGUAAAUAGCUAUUUGGGAUGACGGUACAAGAGGAGGAAGCCCCGGCUAACUACGCGCCAGCAGCCGCGGUAAAACGUAGGGGGCGAGCGUUGCCCGGAAUUACUGGGCGUAAAGCGCGUGUAGGCGGGUUUUUAAGUCGGGUGUGAAAACUCUGGGCUCAACCCAGAGACUGCAUCCGAAACUGGAGAUCUUGAGGGCGGGAGAGGAAAGUGGAAUUCCUAGUGUAGCGGUGAAAUGCGUAGAUAUUAGGAGGAACACCAGUGGCGAAGGCGGCUUUCUGGCCCGAACCUGACGCUGAGACGCGAAAGCGUGGGGAGCAAACAGGAUUAGAUACCCGUGUAGUCG